GGACAGGUGUCCCCUUCCUCCUUCACUGCUCCAGGUGUGUCCUUCCCAAAACUGUGCACUCAGUUGAAGAGGGCAAAAUUCCCCAAACAGAGAUGGACUGGUCUUGUGGAGGGCACAAGAGUAGCUGUGCCCCCUGCUAGAGCCUCCAAACAGGCUCUCCAGAUUGCCCCAGGGCGAAGGCCCAGAAGCAGUAACACUGGGAUUGUUAUGAAGAUCAUACUGUACGAUGUGGCUGACAAGGUGGCUUACCCAAAUAGUACAUCCUGCUUU
rnacentral:sRNA from 1 species